rnacentral:rRNA from 1 species
AGCGGAGGAAAAGAAACCAACAGGGAUUGCCCUAGUAACGGCGAGUGAAGCGGCAACAGCUCAAAUUUGAAAGCUAGCCUUCGGGUUCGCAUUGUAAUUUGUAGAGGAUGAUUUGGGGAAGCCGCCUGUCUAAGUUCCUUGGAACAGGACGUCAUAGAGGGUGAGAAUCCCGUAUGUGACAGGAAAUGGCACCCUAUGUAAAUCUCCUUCGACGAGUCGAGUUGUUUGGGAAUGCAGCUCUAAAUGGGAGGUAAAUUUCUUCUAAAGCUAAAUAUUGGCGAGAGACCGAUAGCGCACAAGUAGAGUGAUCGAAAGAUGAAAAGCACUUUGGAAAGAGAGUUAAAAAGCACGUGAAAUUGUUGAAAGGGAAGCGCUUGCAAUCAGACUUGUUUAAACUGUUCGGCCGGUCUUCUGACCGGUUUACUCAGUUUGGACAGGCCAGCAUCAGUUUCGGCGGCCGGAUAAAGGCUCUGGGAAUGUGGCCUCCACUUCGGUGGAGGUGUUAUAGCCCAGGGUGUAAUACGGCCAGCCGGGACUGAGGUCCGCGCUUCGGCUAGGAUGCUGGCGUAAUGGUUGUAAGCGACCCGUCUUGA